GCGCGGGUGGCGAAAUUGGUAGACGCACUACCUUGAGGUGGUAGCGCCGAAAGGCAUGGAGGUUCAAUUCCUCUCCCGCGCACCA
rnacentral:tRNA from 1 species